rnacentral:rRNA from 1 species
GGGUUGUGAGGUUAAGUGACUAAGCGUACACGGUGGAUGCCUAGGCAGUCAGAGGCGAUGAAGGGCGUGCUAAUCUGCGAAAAGCGUCGGUAAGGUGAUAUGAACCGUUACAACCGGCGAUACCCGAAUGGGGAAACCCAGUGUGUUUCGACACACUAUCAUGUCAUGAAUACAUAGUGGCAUGAGGCGAACCGGGGGAACUGAAACAUCUAAGUACCCCGAGGAAAAGAAAUCAACCGAGAUUCCCCCAGUAGCGGCGAGCGAACGGGGAGGAGCCCAGAACCUGAAUCGGCUUGUGUGUUAGUGGAAGCGUCUGGAAAGUCGCGCAGCAAAGGGUGAUAGCCCCGUACACUAAAAUGCACAGGUCGUGAGUUCGAUGAGUAGGGCGGGACACGUGACAUCCUGUCUGAAUAUGGGGGGACCAUCCUCCAAGGCUAAAUACUCCUGACUGACCGAUAGUGAACCAGUACCGUGAGGGAAAGGCGAAAAGAACCCCGGCGAGGGGAGUGAAAUAGAACCUGAAACCGUGUACGUACAAGCAGUGGGAGCACCUUCGUGGUGUGACUGCGUACCUUUUGUAUAAUGGGUCAGCGACUUAUAUUUUGUAGCAAGGUUAACCGUAUAGGGGAGCCGUAGGGAAACCGAGUCUUAACUGGGCGAAUAGUUGCAAGGUAUAGACCCGAAACCCGGUGAUCUAGCCAUGGGCAGGUUGAAGGUUGGGUAACACUAACUGGAGGACCGAACCGACUAAUGUUGAAAAAUUAGCGGAUGACUUGUGGCUGGGGGUGAAAGGCCAAUCAAACCGGGAGAUAGCUGGUUCUCCCCGAAAGCUAUUUAGGUAGCGCCUCGUGAACUCAUCUUCGGGGGUAGAGCACUGUUUCGGCUAGGGGGCCAUCCCGGCUUACCAAACCGAUGCAAACUCCGAAUACCGAAGAAUGUUAUCACGGGAGACACACGGCGGGUGCUAACGUCCGUCGUGAAGAGGGAAACAACCCAGACCGCCAGCUAAGGUCCCAAAGUCAUGGUUAAGUGGGAAACGAUGUGGGAAGGCAUAGACAGCCAGGAUGUUGGCUUAGAAGCAGCCAUCAUUUAAAGAAAGCGUAAUAGCUCACUGGUCGAGUCGGCCUGCGCGGAAGAUGUAACGGGGCUAAACCAUGCACCGAAGCUGCGGCAGCGACGCUUAGGCGUUGUUGGGUAGGGGAGCGUUCUGUAAGCCGUUGAAGGUGGCCUGUGAGGGUUGCUGGAGGUAUCAGAAGUGCGAAUGCUGACAUAAGUAACGAUAAAGCGGGUGAAAAGCCCGCUCGCCGGAAGACCAAGGGUUCCUGUCCAACGUUAAUCGGGGCAGGGUGAGUCGACCCCUAAGGCGAGGCUGAAAAGCGUAGUCGAUGGGAAACAGGUUAAUAUUCCUGUACUUGGUGUUACUGCGAAGGGGGGACGGAGAAGGCUAGGCUGGCCGGGCGACGGUUGUCCCGGUUUAAGCGUGUAGGGGGUGUGACCUGGUAAAUCCGGUUGCAUAUCAACCCUGAGGCGUGAUGACGAUGCACUACGGUGCAGAAGUAGUUGAUGCCCUGCUUCCAGGAAAAUCCUCUAAGCUCCAGGUAACAUUAAAUCGUACCCCAAACCGACACAGGUGGUCAGGUAGAGAAUACCAAGGCGCUUGAGAGAACUCGGGUGAAGGAACUAGGCAAAAUGGUGCCGUAACUUCGGGAGAAGGCACGCUGGCAUGUAGGUGAAGUCCCUUGCGGAUGGAGCUGAAGCCAGUCGAAGAUACCAGCUGGCUGCAACUGUUUAAUAAAAACACAGCACUGUGCAAACACGAAAGUGGACGUAUACGGUGUGACGCCUGCCCGGUGCUGGAAGGUUAAUUGAUGGGGUCAGCCGCAAGGCGAAGCUCUUGAUCGAAGCCCCAGUAAACGGCGGCCGUAACUAUAACGGUCCUAAGGUAGCGAAAUUCCUUGUCGGGUAAGUUCCGACCUGCACGAAUGGCGUAAUGAUGGCCAGGCUGUCUCCACCCGAGACUCAGUGAAAUUGAACUCGCUGUGAAGAUGCAGUGUACCCGCGGCAAGACGGAAAGACCCCGUGAACCUUUACUAUAGCUUGACACUGAACAUUGAGCCUUGAUGUGUAGGAUAGGUGGGAGGCUUUGAAGCGUGGACGCCAGUCUGCGUGGAGCCAUCCUUGAAAUACCACCCUUUAAUGUUUGAUGUUCUAACUCGGCCCCAUAAUCUGGGGUGAGGACAGUGUCUGGUGGGUAGUUUGACUGGGGCGGUCUCCUCCCAAAGAGUAACGGAGGAGCACGAAGGUUAGCUAAUCACGGUCGGACAUCGUGAGGUUAGUGCAAAGGCAUAAGCUAGCUUGACUGCGAGAGUGACGGCUCGAGCAGGUACGAAAGUAGGUCUUAGUGAUCCGGUGGUUCUGAAUGGAAGGGCCAUCGCUCAACGGAUAAAAGGUACUCCGGGGAUAACAGGCUGAUACCGCCCAAGAGUUCAUAUCGACGGCGGUGUUUGGCACCUCGAUGUCGGCUCAUCACAUCCUGGGGCUGAAGUAGGUCCCAAGGGUAUGGCUGUUCGCCAUUUAAAGUGGUACGCGAGCUGGGUUUAGAACGUCGUGAGACAGUUCGGUCCCUAUCUGCCGUGGGCGUUGGAAGAUUGAGAGGGGUUGCUCCUAGUACGAGAGGACCGGAGUGAACGCACCACUGGUGUUCGGGUUGUCAUGCCAAUGGCAUUGCCCGGUAGCUAAGUGCGGAAAAGAUAAGCGCUGAAAGCAUCUAAGCGCGAAACUUGCCUCAAGAUGAGUCUUCCCUUGGACUUUGAGUCCACUGAAGGAACGUUUAAGACUAAGACGUUGAUAGGCUGGGUGUGUAAGUGCAGCGAUGCAUUGAGCUAACCAGUACUAAUGAUCCGUGAGGCUUAACCUUACAACACCGAAGGUGUUUUAG